rnacentral:rRNA from 1 species
UAGGGAAUCUUCGGCAAUGGGGGCAACCCUGACCGAGCAACGCCGCGUGAGUGAAGAAGGUUUUCGGAUCGUAAAGCUCUGUUGUAAGAGAAGAACGUGUGUGAGAGUGGAAAGUUCACACAGUGACGGUAACUUACCAGAAAGGGACGGCUAACUACGUGCCAGCAGCCGCGGUAAUACGUAGGUCCCGAGCGUUGUCCGGAUUUAUUGGGCGUAAAGCGAGCGCAGGCGGGUUAAUAAGUCUGAAGUUAAAGGCAGUGGCUUAACCAUUGGUCGCUUUGGAAACUGUUAAACUUAAGUGCAGAGGGGGAGAGUGGAAUUCCAUGUGUAGCGGUGAAAUGAGUAGAUUUAUGGAGGAAAACCGGUGGCGAAAGCGGCUCUCUGGUCUGUAACUGACGCUGAGGCUCGAAGGCGUGGGGAGCAAACAGG